GACGAACGCUGGCGGCGUGCUUAACACAUGCAAGUCGAACGGAAAGGCCCUGCUUUUGUGGGGUGCUCGAGUGGCGAACGGGUGAGUAACACGUGAGUAACCUGCCCUUGACUUUGGGAUAACUUCAGGAAACUGGGGCUAAUACCGGAUAGGAGCUCCUGCUGCAUGGUGGGGGUUGGAAAGUUUCGGCGGUUGGGGAUGGACUCGCGGCUUAUCAGCUUGUUGGUGGGGUAGUGGCUUACCAAGGCUUUGACGGGUAGCCGGCCUGAGAGGGUGACCGGCCACAUUGGGAAUGAGAUACGGCCCAGACUCCUACGGGAGGCAGAAGUGGGGAAUAUUGCACAAGGGGCGGAAGCCUGAUGCAGCAACGCCGCGUGCGGGAUGACGGCCUUCGGGUUGUAAACCGCUUUCGCCUGUGACGAAGCGUGAGUGACGGUAAUGGGUAAAGAAGCACCGGCUAACUACGUG
rnacentral:rRNA from 1 species